GAUGAACGCUGGCGGCGUGCCUAAUACAUGCAAGUCGAGCGAAUGGAUUAAGAGCUUGCUCUUAUGAAGUUAGCGGCGGACGGGUGAGUAACACGUGGGUAACCUGCCCAUAAGACUGGGAUAACUCCGGGAAACCGGGGCUAAUACCGGAUAACAUUUUGAACCGCAUGGUUCGAAAUUGAAAGGCGGCUUCGGCUGUCACUUAUGGAUGGACCUGCGUCGCAUUAGCUAGUUGGUGAGGUAACGGCUCACCAAGGCAACGAUGCGUAGCCGGACUGAGAGGGUGAUCGGGCACACUGGGACUGGAACCCGGCCCAGACUCCUACGGGAGGCAGCAGUAGGGAAUCUUCCGCAAUGGACGAAAGUCUGACGGAGCAACGCCGCGUGAGUGAUGAAGGCUUUCGGGUCGUAAAACUCUGUUGUUAGGGAAGAACAAGUGCUAGUUGAAUAAGCUGGCACCUUGACGGUACCUAACCAGAAAGCCACGGCUAACUACGUGCCAGCCGCCGCAGUAA
rnacentral:rRNA from 1 species